rnacentral:lncRNA from 1 species
UCGGAUGGAGUUGGGAUGGAGCUUAUGGAGAUGUUCGUAUCUAGGAUAAUUGCCUUAAUGAAAGGAUCAAAUGGCAAUCUGAUGCCAGCUUUUAAUUGUUCCUCAUAUAAGACAAUGUGAUUUGCCUCAAGAGCAUUGUUGCCCAUGAAGUGUGCGGGACACUCUUUUAAGACAAACUCGGGAGGUAUCUUAUACUGAUCUCUGAUUUGGUUUAGACGAGCAAGAUCUAUUUUAGAUGGGUAUAGAUGAUGGUAAUUUUUGUCAGUUUCAGAUGAUGAUUCAGGACUCUCGACCUCUUCCUGAUGGGAAGAAGGUCUAUCUCUACUCUCUAAAUCCACACAAACAUC